rnacentral:rRNA from 1 species
GAACGCGAAGAACCUUACCAAGACUUAAAUGGGAAUUGACAGCUUUAGAAAUAGAGCUUUCUUCGGACAAUUUUCAAGGUGCUGCAUGGUUGUCGUCAGCUCGUGCCGUGAGGUGUUAGGUUAAGUCCUGCAACGAGCGCAACCCCUGUCACUAGUUGCCAUCAUUCAGUUGGGGACUCUAGUGAGACUGCCUACGCAAGUAGAGAGGAAGGUGGGGAUGACGUCAAAUCAUCACGGCCCUUACGUCUUGGGCCACACACGUAAUACAAUGGCCGGUACAGAGGGCAGCUACACAGCGAUGUGAUGCAAAUCUCGAAAGCCGGUCUCAGUUCGGAUUGGGGUCUGCAACUCGACUCUAUGAAGCUGGAAUCGCUAGUAAUCGCGCAUCAGCCAUGGCGCGGUGAAUACGUUCCCGGGUCUUGUACACACC